UACGGAGGGGGCGAGCGUUAUUCGGAAUUAUUGGGCGUAAAGGGCGCGUAGGCGGCCCGGUAAGUCAAAGGUGAAAUCCCUCGGCUCAACUGAGGAACUGCCUUUGAAACUGUCGGGCUUGAGGCCGGGAGGGGGUAGCGGAAUUCCCAGUGUAGCGGUGAAAUGCGUAGAUAUUGGGAGGAACACCGGUGGCGAAGGCGGCUACCUGGACCGGUUCUGACGCUGAUGCGCGAAAGCGUGGGGAGCGAACAGG
rnacentral:rRNA from 1 species